UUAGGGUUAGGGUUAGGGUUAGUGUUAUUGUUAGGGUUAGGGUAAGGCAUAGGUUUAGGGUAAGGGUUAGGGUUAGGGUUAGGGUAGGGUUAGGGUUAGGGUUAGGGUUAGGGUUACGGUAGGGUUAGGGUUUGGGUUACGGUAGGGUUAGGGUUAGGUUACAGUAAGUUUAGGGUUAUGGUAAAGGUUAGGGUUAGGGGUAACGUUAGGGUUGCGGUAGGGUUAGUGUUAGGUUUAGGGUCAGGGUUGGGGUUAGGGUUAGUGUUAGGUUUUGGUUUAGGCUUAGGAUUAGUUUUUGGGUUGGGGUUAGGUUAGGGUUAGGGUUAGGGUUAGGGUUAGGGUUAGGGUUAGGGUUAGGGUAGGGUUAGGGUUAGGGUUAGGGUUAUGGUUAGGGUUAGGGUUAGGGUAGGGUUAGGGUUAGGGUUAGGGUUAGGGUUAGGGUUAGGGUUAGGGUUAGGGUUAGGGUUAGGGUUAGGGUUAGGGUUAGGGUUACGGUUAGGGUUAGGGUUAGGGUUAGGGUUAGGGUUAGGGUUAGGGUUAGGGUUAGGGUUAGGGUUAGGGUUUAGGGUUAGGUUAGGGUUAGGGUUAGGGUUAGGGUUAGGGUUAGGGUUAGGGUUAGGGUUAGGGUUAGGGUUAGGGUUAGGGUUAGGGUUAGGGUUAGGGUUAGGGUUAGGGUUAGGGUUAGGGUUAGCGUUAGGGUUAGGGUUAGGGUUAGGGUUACGGUUAGGGUUAGGGUUAGGGUUAGGGGUUAGGGUAAGGAUUAGGGUUUGGGUUAGGGUAGGGUUAGGGUUUGGGUUAGCGUUAGGGUUAUGGUUAGGGUUAGGGUUAGGGUAAGGGUAGGGUUAGGGUUUGGUUUUGGGUUAGGGUUAGGUUUAGGGUUAAGGCUUAGUGUUAUUGUUAGGGGUAGGGUUAGGGUUAGGGUUUGGGUUAGGGUUAGGGUUACGAUUAGGCUCAUUAGGGUUAGGGUUAGGGUUUGGGUUAGGCACAUUACGGUUAGGGUUAGGCACAUUACAGUUAGGGUUAGGGUUAUGGUUAGGGUUAGAGUAGGGUUAGGGUUAGGUUUAGGGUUAGGGUACCAUCAAUUCGGGUUAGGGUUAUGUUUAGGCACGUUAGGGUUAGGGUUAGGCACGUUAGGGUUUGGGUUAGGCAUGUUAGUGUUAGGGUUAGGGUUAGGCACGUUAGGGUUAGGGUUAGACACGUUAGGGUUAGGGUUAGGCAUGUUAGUGUUAGGGUUCGGGUUAGGCACGUUAGGGUUAGGGUUAGGGUUAGGCACGUUAGGGUUAGGCACGUUAGGGUUAGGGUUAGUGUUUGGGUAAUGGUUUGGGUUAGGGUUAGGGUUCAGGUUAGGGUUCGGGUUAGGGAUUGGGUUUGGGUUAGGGAUAGGGAUAGGGUUAGGGUUAGGAUAAGGGUAAGGUUUUUGUUAGGCGUAGGUUUAUGGUUACGUUUUGGGUUGGGGUUAAGUUAGCAUUUGGUUUAAAGUUAGGGAAAGGAUAAGGGUUAGGAGUAGGUUUAGGGAAUGGGUUCGGGUUAGGGUAGGGUUAGUGUUAGGGUACGUUUAGGGUAAGGGUAAGUGUUCGGUUUCUGGUUAGGGUUAUUGUAGGGUUAAGGUUAGGGUUACAGUAAGGGUAGGGUUAGGGUUUGGUUUUGGGUUAGGGUUAGGUUUAGGGUUUGGGUAAGGGUUAGUGUUAUUGUUAGGGUUAGGCUUAAGUUUAGGUUUAGUGUAAGGGUUUAGGGUUAGGGUUAAGGUUACAGUAAGUUUAGGGUUAUGGUAACGGUUAGGGAUAGGAUUAUGGUAGGGUUAGGGUUAGAGGUAAUGUUAGUUUUAGGGUUAGGUUUAGGGUCCGGGUUGGGGUUAGGGUUAGGGUUAGGUUUUGGUUUAGGCUUAGGAUUAGAUUUUGGGUUGGGGUUAGGUUAGGGUUAGGUUUAGGUUUAGGGUGAGCAUUAGUGUUAUUUUUAGGGUUAGGGUUCGGAUUAAGUUUAGCGUUAGGGUUUAGGUUUAGUGUUAGGGUUAAGGUUACGGUAUGUUUAGGGUUAUGAUAAAGGUUAGGUUUAGAGGUAAGGUUAGGGUUAGGUUUAGGGUCAGGGUUAAUGUUAGUGUUAGGUUUAGGGUUAGGGUUUAGGGUUAGGGUAAGGGUUAGGUUUUUGCUUGGGGUUAGCUUAAGGUUAGGGUUAGGGUUAGGUUUAGACACAUUAGGGUUAGGGUUGGGCACGUUAGGGUUAGGGUUUGGCACGUUAGAGUUAGGGUUAGCGUUAGGUUUAGACAUUAGGGUUAGGGUUAGGCACGUUAGGGUUAGGGUUAGGGUUAGGGUUAGGCACAUUAGGGUUAGGGUUAGGGUUAGGGUUAGGGUUAGGGUUAGGGUUAGGGUUAGGGUUAGGGUUAGGGUUAGGGUUAGGGGUAGGGUUAGGGAUAGGGUUAGGAUUAGGGUUAGGGUUUGGGUUGAGGUUGGGGUUUGUGUUGGGUUUUGUGUUAGGGUUAGGGUAAGGUUAGGGUUAGGGUUAGGUUUUGGUUAAGGGUUAGGGUUAGGAUUUGGCUUAUUGUUAUGAUUAGGGUUAGGGUAAGGGUUUGGAUUAGGAUAAGGCUAUGGUUAGGGUUUGUUUUAGGGUUAUGGAUAGGAUUAAGGUUAGUGUUAGUUUUUUGGUUAGUGUUAGGGUUAUGUUAGGUUUAGGGUUAGGGUUAGGGUUAAGGUUAUAUUCUGUUUAGGGUUAGGUUUAGGGUUAGGGUUAAGGUUAGGGUUUGUCUUAAUGUUGGUUUAGGGAAAGGGUUGUGUUAGUGUUAGGGUUUAGGUUUAUAGUUUGUGUUACGACUAAGUUUAGGUUUAGGGUAAGGGUUAGUGUUUCUUUUAAUGUAGGUAUAGGGUUAGGAUUAGGUUUAAGUUAAGGGUUAGGUUUAGUUUUAGGGUUAGAGUUAGAGUUAAGUUAGGGUUAGGGUUAGGUUUGGGUUUUGUGUUUGGUUUUGGGUUAGGGUUGGGAUUAGGGUUUGGGUUAGGGUUAACUGUAGGAUUAGGGUUAGGGUUUGUUUUAUAUUUAAUGUUUCUGUUAGGUUAAGGGUUAAGUUAGUGUUUGGUUUAGGGUUAGGUUUAGAUUUAGGUUUUGUGUUGAGUUAGGGUUAGGGUUAGAGUUAGGGUUAGUGUUUGCGUUAGGAUUAAGGUUAGGGUUUUGUUUAGGGUUAGGGUUAAGAUCAGGUUUCGGGUUAGUUUUAGGAUUAAGUUUAGGUUAGGGUUUGGGUUAUGUUUGGGGUUAGUGUUAUGGUUAGGACUAUGGUUAUUGCAAGGGUUAAGAUAGGGUUUGUAUUAAGGUUUUUUUUUCGGUUAUUGUUGAGUUAUGCUUAGGGUUAGGGUUAGUGUUAUGUUAGGGUUAGGGUUAUAGGCCUAUUUUGGGUUAUGUAGAACAGAAUAAAAUUGAU
ensembl:lncRNA